GAAUUAGCAGUUGUGUUGGAGAGAAGGUUAGUUUGGCUGCUAGAUGCAAAUUUGCAAAUUUGCAAAUUCUAGAUCUAAAAGCCGAUCUCUUGGAGCCUAUUGUAUGCUUCUGAAUAGGACGGAUUAGGUAAGGGUGAUUCAAUAGGCAGGCCGAUGGAAAUAAUCUUUCUCUCGAUUGGAGAAAACCAGGGGCUCCGAUGCUAGUGAU